GGGGGUGUCAUGGAAUUCGAUUACGAGUGGAAAUAUUGGGAAGCAAGUCGUGGGUGAUGAUCGGGGUCACGUAAAAACGAUCAUCAAAAUGUUAGCUGCAAACAACGCUGACUACGAACCUGCUCAAGUCGCACUAGCGGCUUAAUUGAAGUAG
rnacentral:tmRNA from 1 species